AAGUUUGUUUGAUGUUUUCGCCGCGACGAUUCGAAAUGAAACGAAGAAAUUAGCAGAAGUGAAGGUCACCGGAGAGGUGAAUGAGGAUUUUACCACUGGAACUAGAGAGCUUGGCUCUGACUGGUCUACUACAGCAAGGAAUGUGCCAGGGGCCAAUCUGAUGAACAUGUGGCAGAAGAUUUGGCAAUGGGUGAAGAAACACUGAGAUUGAAAUGCAACCACAGGUGGAGGCUUCACCCAAACUUUUCAGACGGAUGCGAGAUACAAAGUUACCCAAGUAUAAAUGGUUGAAGGUUUUGGAGAGCCAGACAAGAAGGCAGGAAAUGUGAUGUCACUUUGUAAUACUUCAAUAAACAUGAACAGCAGCAGGAGCAACAACAGCAUCAGCAGCCGAAACCUCAACUGCAAGAAGAGAUGCAGCAACCGCACCGACAACAUCAAGAGCAACAGCAAAAAUACCUACAUGUAUUACAGCAGAAAUGCAACAAUCACAUUGGCAACAUCAACAGUAGCAGGAGCUCCAACAACCAUGCAGGGAACAUCGCGCGCAACAUGAAUAACUUCAUGAAGAGAUGCAACAACCACAGUGGUAAACAUCAACAGCAGUAGCAACAACGACAGUAGAAACAAAGCCAAUGUCAAGGAUUAAGCAAUCAUACAGGAAACAACACAAGCGGCAACAUCAAUAAAUGCAUCAGGGGAUGCAACAGCCAUACUUGUAAACAGCAGCAGUAGCAGCGAUGACAAGAGCAACCACACAGGCAACACCUUGAGCAACAUCAGUAGCAAUGCACCAGCAAUGAAACAAUCACACCAACAACACCAAGAGCAGCAGCAAAAAGAAAAUAAAUUACAGCAACCAUGAUGACAACAGCAGC
rnacentral:lncRNA from 1 species